AUUGAACGCUGGCGGCGUGCCUAACACAUGCAAGUCGAUCGGUAACGCGGGAGCAAUCCUGGCGACGAGAGGCGGACGGGUGAGCAAUGCUUGGGAAUCUGCCUAUUAGUGGGGGACAACCCGGGGAAACUCGGGCUAAUACCGCAUACGCUCUUCGGAGGAAAGCGGGGGACCGUAAGGCCUCGCGCUAAUAGAUGAGCCCAAGUCGGAUUAGCUAGUUGGUGAGGUAACGGCUCACCAAGGCGACAAUCCGUAGCUGGUCUGAGAGGACGACCAGCCACACCGGAACUGAGACACGGUCCGGACUCCUACGGGAGGCAGCAGUGGGGAAUACUGGACAAUGGGGAAACCCUGAUCCAGCGACGCCGCGUGGGUGAAGAA
rnacentral:rRNA from 1 species